AAAACAUAGCCUUACGAAAAUAAAUGUAAGGUACCUCCUGCCCAGUGAAAUUUCAACGGCCGCAGUACUCUGACUGUGCAAAGGUAGCAUAAUCACUUGCCUUUUAAUUGAAGGCUGGAAUGAACGGACUCACGUAAAUAGCCCUGUCUCUAUUAUACCAAUAUAAACUAGAACUUAGGUGAAAAUACCUAAAUAUAAAUAAAGGACAAAAAGACCCUAUAGAGCUGCAUUCAUAAUAGCUUAUAAAAUACAAUAUACUGUACAUACUACCCUAUGAAUUUUGUUGGGGCGACAAAGGAAUAUAAAAAUCUUCCUUAAUUAUAAAGAUAAACACAUCAACUAAAAGAUCCUAUAUAGAUCACAGGAAAAAGCUACCUUAGGGAUAACAGACUAAUCUCCUUAGAGAGUUCAAAUUGACAAGGAGGAUUGGCACCUCGAUGUUGGCUUAAGAUAUCCUUUAGGUGCAGAAGCCUAAAAGGGUUGGUUUGUUCAACCAUUAAAAUCUUACAUGAUCUGA
rnacentral:rRNA from 1 species